GGAAGAAGGGCAGAACUCUGGAAGAGUGAGAUGGCCAGAAUCAGACAGCUAGGAAGGCAGCAACAGCAGGGCCAUUGCAGGGACCAGAGCCCACAGAGACAACAUUCUUCCUGGAUGGAUGGAGUUCUAGUUGAACAACCAUGGAGAAAUGAUAUACUGUUUUUGACGAUCAACUAUGAAUCCAUUUUUUCCUUCAAAAGGCCAAACUUUUUGGUUGAUUAUUUUUCAUGAAGAAGUACAUACUAAGGUUGAACUCAGUUGAAGCUGAUCAGGGCUUCAGCAAAAGAAGUGGAAAACUGAAGACUGCAGCAUAAUGAAGAACCAGAGAUAGACCAGCUUUUUGUAAUUCCUCUUUGGACAAGAAGAGAACUUGAGAUUGCCCGCAAGUGCUCCAGGCAAUUGCUCAUCACAGGGAGACCACAAGACAGCAUUUUCUAGAAGGUUGAAGGGAAGGGGAGGAAAGGGGAAACAGCAUUUUGCAGAAGGAGACAAGGGAAUAGCCAUCUUGCUAAAAUCGUGGUUGGCACUCAGGACACUGGGCUUGCAUAUUUCCUUUUGUAAUCACUUUUGGAAAUUGUGUAACAGCUUUUCAACUGUUAGCAAUCUUUGGAUCAACAACUUUUACCACACUAGGUGAAUUUCCUUCAAACCUUAGCGAAAGAAGUUUUAAGUAUAAGUUUAAGGAUUUUUUUUUCUGGAAUAAACAAAAAAGGGAUGAUUAGAUUUGUGAUUCAAGAAAGUUGUCAGCACUUGACAAAAGUUACAAAUGAUUUUAAUUCCAUAUAAUUUGAAAUUAUAAUUUUGGAAUUAUAAAAAUUCUUCCAGUGGGAAAAUAAAUUUCUAUUGAAUUCUUAAGAAAAAAAAAAAGAAGGAUGGAAUUUUGAAGGUUGAAUACCAGAGGGAACUAGAAGGAACUGAAGAUUACCAUUAAAUGAGAAAACUUAAUUUGAUUUACCAAUACAUAAUGGAACAAAAUAUUUUAACAUUUGACAUUUUGAAGGAUAUUUUAAACAAUGGAUGCAGAAGUUAAUUUUAAGAGUAUCUCUAUAAAUAGACUGGGUUUAAAAAUUGUUAUGGAAGAGGAACAAAUUUUAAUGGACAAGAAUGAGACUGAUAUGAAAAUGAAUUUUAAAAUGACAAGCUACAAGAAGGUCAUGGAAAAAGAUGUUACACUGGACAUACAAAAGAAGCCGGCUGUUGUCUUAAUAAUUAAAAGGGAUAUACAAAUAACAAACCAAGAGAAUGACCUGGAUAAUCUUCCUGUAUUGGAUUUACAAAAGAGGCUUGUUAAAGCUUUGAAGAUUUUUGUGAGGAUAAAUAAAAUAAUGAAAAGAAAUCAAGCUUUAGGACAUUAUUUGAAGGGACUAAAAAUCAAGAUUGUUAAAAAUAAAAGAAAGGAAUCUAAAGUUGAUUUAUUUGAUUAAGGUUAAAAUAAUUAUAUUGUUAUUUCUGUAAAAAAAUAUUUAAUGGACUUUUGCUGAGCAGAAGGUUUUUAUGGAUGUGUUUAAGAAUAAGAUAUAGGUCUUAUAUUAUAGGAUAUGGGAAGACAAAGAUUCAUUGUAUUUUAAGAGAAGAUAAGUUAUUAAAAUUGUUUCUAUUUGUGAUGGAGGAAGUCAUUUCCUUAUAUAUUUAAUUUCUUUUUCUAUAUUAUGUGCUUCUUUCUUCCUUCUCUAUUUUUCUUUUCUGCACUUUCUAUUUUUUCUUUUUCAAUUUGUCUGUAUCUUUUUAAUUGUGAUUUUUUAAAUAAAAAUAUUAUAAAAAAGAAAGAAAAGUGAGUAUUGAUACUAAAAUUACAGUGAUACUGCCAAAAGUCAGCAAUAAAAAUAUAUAAAAAGUUUGGGAUAGGAAACCAGAGCCAAGUCAAUCCUUUAGUGGUUGUUAUAUUUUGAGAGAAGAUGAUAAAUUACUAAAAUGGUUUAUACAUGUUGUGAAGAAGAGGGAAGUCAUUUCUUUACAUAUUUCUUUCCUUUUUAGCUAUGGAUGUGAGUCACUGAGGCUCAGGUGUCAGAAUGCCCACUAGAUAGGGAUUAUCCUGUUGAUGGUAACCCACACAAUAUGAAACAAACCGAACAGUACAAGGACCAAUGUUUUAGAGAUGCCUCCAAUGGGCAUGAUCUCAAUUGGGCAUGGGGUUUCAUUUUAAUUGUCACAAUGCACUUGCUAUUCCAAUCUUUUCUGCAAAGUCAUCAAGAUGUAAUAUUCAUACGGGUUCUGUUACAGGAACUCUCAGAACGUUUAUCUAACUUUUAAAUCAACCUAUAUUAUGGUCUUAUCUCAGACCUCCUCUGCUUCUAAUUUCUUGGACUGUAACUCCCAAUACUCUCACUCACAUUGUGAGAGAAUUCUGGAAAUUUUUAU